UGUAUUCUCACUAAAAGCCAGUAUUGCCACUGAAACCCCAUCUUAUCAAAACACAGCCUUCUGCAGUGGUGGGAAGAGGAGCCACAGUCUCUCAGAGGGACAUCUGCAAGCCAAGAAGAGGCACCGUAACCAGCGCAGCCUGUACACAACCCCAGAUUUGUGACACUGCCUCGGAACAAAGGCUCUUGCAUUGCUUUUGAAAAAAACCAAACAAACCCCAACUCCAAGAGAGCCACAGCCAAGCAGAUGGGAACCACUGAAAAGCGUGCAUCUGAUCUUUGGAUGAAGAAGGGCGGGUUUCAUGCCCACCGUUGAAAGACUGCUCCAUCCAGUAAACUCUCAUGAAUGGAAAAUGAAGACAGCAAAGGAAGAAAUCGAACCGUCAUGUUCUGGAAAAGGGCUCCUUCCUCUGCUAGCAGCUACUGAGUAAGUGGAAACUCCUUCAAAGGACAGCACAGGCUGGAGAAGCACCCGUGGUUCACUCAUCGAUACCUAGGGAGGAAGGACCUACAGUCUUUUACCUGUGAAUACCAGAAGAGUAAAAUAGCUAUUUGCUUAAGUGGGACUAAUCCUCUAUGAACAUUUUAAUGGUUUACUGUACAAUAGCGAUGAGUGCCUUGGUGGUUUUUUGCUGUUAAACAUUCACUAGCUUUAAUUAAAUAAUUAAUUUGUUACAUAAAAAGUUUCUAGGACUACAUUUCCUAGUGAAAACCWUUGUUGCUGGAUCGAGGCUACCUCUUUGGGACUUGAAUCUCUUCUGUGUUUUCUUUGCUAUGCAGAAUCAGUUACAAUAAGUAAAUGAAUAAUUUAAUAGCGGAACUUAGCAUCUUCAUCCUAUCUGUGAAUUAAGCUAGGGUUUUUUUCUCAAAUGCAUAAAGUAUUGGGAACUCUUUGUCAUAAUCAUUUGGCAAAUACUUCUUGAUUUAUAGGAGUCAUAAGCAAUUCAUUGAGAGU
rnacentral:lncRNA from 1 species